AUUUCCCAUGGGCAUAAAGUUCAAGAUGCUUUACUGGUUCCUUUCGAGACUGAACUACAGACACGGGACGACCAUCCGAACAAUUUGAAAACGGGGGGGCGUUGAGCAAGGCGCGCAAGGCAGUAGCAACCGAAUAAACAAAAACGAUACUCGCAAGAGUUAGCCACAGCAAAGAGGGGCCAGGUUCCUCGGGAUCCGACCCAGCUGCUCUGAUUUCACACCGACCUCCAUCAACAGCUAAACUGCACAGGGAGGAGGAUCGAACGGAUCCCUCCCGCCCUCCGCCCAAGGAGCCGACCCGGGGUAGCAAGACCCCUGCCCCCGCCAGGCUAGGACGAGCAGCCGCCACCGCUGCCACCGCCACCGCCGCCGCCGCAGCGUCUCAGUGCGGCCCCGCCUCCGCCGACCCACCACCUUCACCACCUCCACGCUCCGGUACCGCCCCUCCCGCCAAUCGGACAGCUCCGGCUACGCCCCCAGGGCGCCAGCCCGCAGCCAAUGAGCAACGAGAGCCCGGCUGGGAGUCGUGCCGGCCAAUCGCAGGGGCCGAGGAAGCCUUGAAUCUCCGGGCAAGUUAAGUUUAUCUCCGAGGCUCGGAACUGAACGGAGAUGGCGGUUAGCUAAGUAGUAGGGUAGCAGGGAACAGUUUGCUCUCCUCUGCCAAUAAGAGGACGAGGGUGUGUCAUAUGCAAAUACACUGCCCUCCAAGCCCCACCCCCAAGAUAAGCUACGCCCCCUUCUCUAGGUCCCUGCAAAAGUGACCUUCCUGAGGCAGCUGUUUGGAUACAUGCAGAGCACAGCGCCCUGCUCAGAAAGGAAGGUUCAGAGAACAAAUUGCCGUUUAAAACUAUUGGGACAAACCUGCCUCUUCUAGAGCUUAAAAUGGUCUGCAGCGUACCAGCAUUUGUGAAGGCCUGCAGUUCGUAGAAUGAAAUCUAUGUGGAGAUGAUUUAAAAGAACGGUUUCACUGAGACCAACACAUAUAAACCAAGUCUACACAAGGAACAAAGCUAAAAUCCUUUCGAAAUGAGUUCCUUUAAGUUCUUCAGUAACUAAAUCCCCCAGAAAGGAAAGCAGAGAGAAUCUAGCCCUAUACAAUAACAUCCUCUAACAAAGAUUGCUAAAGGAAGAUUUUAGUAGAUGAAUAUCUUCAAUAAUACAUGGUCACAUACAUGUAUCCGACCAUAUGAUGGCUCUCUGCACCAAAUUCCUCCAAACUAUUAUAAUAUGUAUUGUCUGUAGUGCUAUUUAUUUGGCAGUUAAUCAUGUAUUGCACUGUGACAUUUCUUAUACUGAACCAUUAUGUAUGUGUUUAUAUUCUGCCCUCAGCUACUCAAUGCCAGUACCUUAUUCUUAACACAGCAACCACCCUUUCUGGUCUGUCGUCACACCCUCAUCCCCAUCAUAGUUGUUCUCCUCUCUCAUGGAAAUGUUCAGUUUCUGGACAUCUCCUUUCUCUUCCAUUCUUCACCUGACCUUCCUUCCU
rnacentral:antisense_RNA from 1 species